rnacentral:rRNA from 1 species
AGUGAACGCUGGCGGCGUGCCUAAUACAUGCAAGUCGAACGGAGUGGCGCACGGGGGAGUAAUAUAUAGCUAAUCUGCCCCUUGCUGGGGGACAACAGUUAGAAAUGACUGCUAAUACCCCAUAGCAAGGGAUGAGACUAUAUCGGAUCAGCUAGUCGGUGGGGUAACGGCCUACCGAGGCUAUGACGCGUAACUGGUCUGAGAGGAUGAUCAGUCACAUCGGAACUGAGGCACGGGCCAAACGCCUACGGGAGGCAGCAGUAGGGAAUAUUGCGCAAGGGGGGUGACCCUGGCGCAGCAACGCCGCGUGGAGGAUGACACUUUUCGGAGCGUGAACUGCUUUUGUUAGGGAAGCGGUACCUAACGAAGAAGCACCGGCUAACUCCGUGCCAGCAGCCGCGGUAAUUC